UGAACGCUGGCGGCGUGCCUAAUACAUGCAAGUCGAGCGAACAGACGAGGAGCUUGCUCCUUUGACGUUAGCGGCGGGCGGGUGAGUAACACGUGGAUAACCUACCUAUAAGACUGGGAUAACUUCGGGAAACCGGAGCUAAUACCGGAUAACAUGUUGAACCGCAUGGUUCAACAGUGAAAGACGGUCUUGCUGUCACUUAUAGAUGGAUCCGCGCCGCAUUAGCUAGUUGGUAAGGUAACGGCUUACCAAGGCAACGAUGCGUAGCCGACCUGAGAGGGUGAUCGGCCACACUGGAACUGAGACACGGUCCAGACUCCUACGGGAGGCAGCAGUAGGGAAUCUUCCGCAAUGGGCGAAAGCCUGACGGAGCAACGCCGCGUGAGUGAAGAAGGUCUUCGGAUCGUAAAACUCUGUUAUUAGGGAAGAACAAAUGUGUAAGUAACUAUGCACGUCUUGACGGUACCUAAUCAGAAAGCCACGGCUAACUACGUG
rnacentral:rRNA from 1 species